rnacentral:rRNA from 1 species
AACGAACGCUGGCGGCAUGCCUAACACAUGCAAGUCGAACGAGACCUUCGGGUCUAGUGGCGCACGGGUGCGUAACGCGUGGGAACCUGCCCUUAGGUUCGGAAUAACUCCCCGACAGGGGUGCUAAUACCGGAUAAUGUCUUCGGACCAAAGAUUUAUCGCCUUUGGAUGGGCCCGCGUUGGAUUAGCUAGUUGGUAGGGUAAAAGCCUACCAAGGCGACGAUCCAUAGCUGGUCUGAGAGGAUGAUCAGCCACACUGGGACUGAGACACGGCCCAGACUCCUACGGGAGGCAGCAGUGGGGAAUAUUGGACAAUGGGCGAAAGCCUGAUCCAGCAAUGCCGCGUGGGUGAUGAAGGCCUUAGGGUUGUAAAGCUCUUUUACCCGGGAUGAUAAUGAUAGUACCGGGAGAAUAAGCUCCGGCUAACUCCGUG